rnacentral:lncRNA from 1 species
UGGGUUCAUUGUCGAUCACGUUGUGAAACUAGAUUCGGAGUACUGGAUUGUUUAGGGGUAAGAAGUAUCUUGUAUCGUUCUCAACACACUUGAAAUGUAUUUGAUGUAACAGAUUGGAUCUCUGGCCUCAUGCUUGUAAUAAUAUGCUUGAUGUAUGGGCUUGUAAUAUAUUUUGAUGUAUGGGCUUGUGUACGGAUUCAUGUAUUUGAUGUAUUCAUUUGGUUCUGAUGAUAUAGAUUAAAUACUCUGAAAAUGGUCAUCACAGGAAGUUUAAACCGGUGGUAAAGAAGGCCAUCAUCACCGCUGGUCUUGGACACAAACCCGCCAUGAUGGCUCCAUCAUCACCGUCGGCUCAUGAGCUGGACCGGUGGUGAUGAAGGCCAUCAAUAUCGUCGGUUCAUGGUCUAGCGACCGUCGACCUUUAUCCGCUAGCCCCCCAAGCUAGUGGUGAUGGGUGGUUUGGG